rnacentral:lncRNA from 1 species
AACAAACUCAUUUAAGUCUUGGAUGGCCUGAGGGACUGAGAUUUUGAGGUGAACUAUACCUUUAAUAAAUGCAAUGGUGUGUGUUGAAAUGAUACAUACUAAACUGAUAUUUCCAGGAUGGAGCCUUGCAAUUGCAGCCAGGUCCAGUGUAUGCCAGAGAUGGAGAUAAAAGCAUAAAUGAAGAGAUAAGCUAUAAAAUUGUUCGAGGUAUUAAAGCAUUUUUCCUAACAUAACUGUUAUUCCUACACACUUAAUGUUCAACAUGAACACAAUUAUUUCUGUAAUUGUCUAGGAAAUGAGGACAACAUAUUUCAGAUUGAUGAGAAAUCUGGAAACAUAUCCAUGCUGAAACCAGCAGAUAUAGCUGGCCCUAUAUCUCUCUUAGUUUUGGCUUCCCAGGUAGUAAAUAGAGAUCAGUUUGCCACCACUUCAGUCACUAUUGAUGUAAUGAAAAAGAGCAGAAAUGCUCCAAGGUUUGAGAAGGACCGAUAUGAAGGGUAUGUUUACAGUAAUUCAGGGCCUGAAAACAUGGUGCUAAGGGACAGGACAUCCAACAGACCCAUCAGAGUCAGAGC